rnacentral:lncRNA from 1 species
GUCUAUGCUCUGUUUAGGUCUCCAAAAUCGCACCCUAGGCUUCUGGUCGCAUCUGACUUUUAUAGACAAAGAAUUAGGGUUUCAGAAAAGUCCACCAUCGUGCCACGUUUCGCGUCCAUCGUGGCACGAUUCCUUCAUUAAUCUGAAGUGGCAGCAAAUUUACUAAACCAUCGUGGCACGUUACAUAUCCAUCGUGCCACGAUUUUUCCAGUAUCUUCAGGUAAAUUCUACGCUUCAAACGUGCCACAAUUCAGGUCCAUCGUAGCACGAUCCAAUAGCUAAAUUCUUUGAUUUUUCUCCAAUUUGUGCAAAAUUUCUCUUUUAUGAAUCUUGAGUGGAUUUAACCAUGUAUGCAAGCAUUUGACUCUCAAAACAUUACAAAAAGGACACAAAUAUGACUAAAAAACUAGUAAUGAUGUACUGUCAUCACUUACACGGUUCUCAUCUAGCCUCGGGAUCCAUGUUCCUUCAAACCUCGCUUUAAACAGUUGGUUGCUAAUUUGGUUGGAAAAGAAAGAUAUGCUCGGUUCACAAUUAUUCUACACUAUUCUUUGGAAAAUGUGGUUUUAUAGAAACCAAGUGGUGUUUAAUCAAAUCCGUCCCUACCACCCUGAUGUCGCUAAUGCAGCGCUAGAUUUUAUUGUUGAAUUUAAUCGCACCGUGCCAAAGAAGGGGAGUCAGUUGCAGCCACACAU